rnacentral:rRNA from 1 species
GAUGAACGCUGGCGGCGUGCCUAAUACAUGCAAGUCGAGCGAACAGACGAGGAGCUUGCUCCUCUGACGUUAGCGGCGGACGGGUGAGUAACACGUGGAUAACCUACCUAUAAGACUGGGAUAACUUCGGGAAACCGGAGCUAAUACCGGAUAAUAUAUUGAACCUCAUGGUUCAAUAGUGAAAGACGGUUUUGCUGUCACUUAUAGAUGGAUCCGCGCCGCAUUAGCUAGUUGGUAAGGUAACGGCUUACCAAGGCAACGAUGCGUAGCCGACCUGAGAGGGUGAUCAGCCACACUGGAACUGAGACACGGUCCAGACUCCUACGGGAGGCAGCAGUAGGGAAUCUUCCGCAAUGGGCGAAAGCCUGACGGAGCCACGCCGCGUGAGUGAUGAAGGUCUUCGGAUCGUAAAACUCUGUUAUUAGGGAAGAACGAAUGUGUAAGUAACUAUGCCCGUCUUGACGGUACCUAAUCAGAAAGCCACGGCUAACUACGUG